CUGAACCGAUCACCAGAACCCUUCUAGAAUUAGCUAAUUGAACCAAAACUAUAAAAAAAAUUUUCCUUUUCUCCUCAAUAACGCUAUCGGAGAUCACGAGCUUUGGUCCAGCGUCUCCUCUACCGCUCAGUUUUCGGCGAGCACCCAAUAAAGCUUGGCUUGAGAGUCACGUUAUCAGUAGAAUUGAUCUCUUCUCCAUCCCGUCGGCUCACCUCUUGGACCUAUGUCCCGCUUUUCGUUCGACAAGAGAGGAGGAGGGAGAGAGACAUCGAUCAGACGCUAUUCCGGUCACCUUCCACCAUCGUCGAUGACGUCCUCCUUCCAGAUAGGCAACACUGUGGAGUGGUGACCCCUCUCUGCCAGCGGUGGACUCUCUGCCAUGAGAAAUAGAAAGCAAGAAAUAUGAUUUCAUUCUGAAAGGAGAGAUGAAGGAGUAGAAGUAAUUAAUAUAUCAAAGGUUACAAGGGUCAUCAUUUGUCAUUAAAACAUAGGAGGGAGGGAGCGAGGUAAUUAUGUAAUGGACCGUUAAUUUAGGGAGGCAUGUGUUAGUUUUAAAAAAUAGGAGGUAUGUAUAAUUUACUAGUUAAAUUUUUUAAGAUGGUUAAAUUAUUUUUAUUUGUUAAAAUAGUACUUAAUUAUAUUUAGAUUCAAUAAUUCUUAGACCAUUGGUUUAUAUAGUCAAGGGUAAAGUUGUAAAUUUUAUAAUAAUAUUAUUUUUUUUUCCUCCCUUCA